AGUGAACGCUGGCGGUAGGCCUAACACAUGCAAGUCGAACGGCAGCACAGUAAGAGCUUGCUCUUACGGGUGGCGAGUGGCGGACGGGUGAGGAAUACAUCGGAAUCUACUUUUUCGUGGGGGAUAACGUAGGGAAACUUACGCUAAUACCGCAUACGACCUACGGGAGAAAGCAGGGGAUCUUCGGACCUUGCGCGAUUGAAUGAGCCGAUGUCGGAUUAGCUAGUUGGCGGGGUAAAGGCCCACCAAGGCGACGAUCCGUAGCUGGUCUGAGAGGAUGAUCAGCCACACUGGAACUGAGACACGGUCCAGACUCCUACGGUAGGCCGCAGUGGGGAAUAUUGGACAAUGGGCGCAAGCCUGAUCCAGCCAUACCGCGUGGGUGAAGAAGGCCUUCGGGUUGUAAAGCCCUUUUGUUGGGAAAGAAAAGCAGCAGGUUAAUACCCCGCUGUUCUGACGGUACCCAAAGAAUAAGCACCGGCUAACUUCUU
rnacentral:rRNA from 1 species